GUUGUUUUUGCCUGUCAUGGAGUUCCGUUCAUUCUGAACAUGUCACCGGGGACUUUGGAAUGUGUAUCCAUAACUCCCUGAUUUUCAACCACAUUCCAGCCUGCCUGACUCAUGAAGCGUGGAGCGACCCAGGAACAUCCCAGCUCCUCAUGUCCCACAUUCUUCAGGCUUUCUCUUAGUUUUGGCAUGUGCAUGUAAAUGUCAACAGUGCCCAGAUCAGCGCCUGAUAUAUACUUGGCACACAAUAACCACUCUUGAAAUUCAUGAAGG
rnacentral:lncRNA from 1 species